GAUAAAAUCAGAGUGGGUAGUCGAAGGUUUACUGGCUACAAAUUCAAAGAGUGUAAAGGUUUACACACCAUAAAAAAUAAUAAUAAUAAUAAUAAAUAAAAUAAUGGCACCCCCCUUAUUAUCUUUCCGCCGUUUGGCCAAAUGUUCGGUUGUACCUUCAGAGACAUGUCUCAUCCAUCUACGAAGACAUGUAGGGAGAAAUUACAGAGAGAGUUUGUUGUCUGAGUCGCUGUGGGAAAUCGCACAGAUGAGGGAACAACCACCUGCAUAGACAUCCUAUUGGCUAUUCUGUUGCCUCCCCCUGGUGAUUUCCUCAAGUUUAUGCAACUCUCUCUCUCUCUCACUCUGUCUACCCACAUCUAUAGAUGUCUUUGUAUGUAUUUUUUUGCAUAAGAGCACACGCACGCACACAUAUAGAUCUGUUGUUUUAGUUAAUUUCAUGCUUUGUAAUAUGAAACUAUAAAAGGGUUUCUUUUCUUCAACAAAAUUAAUUUUGUCGAUA